AAAUCCUAUCAGGUAAGGCCCAGCCAGCCGCCUGUACCGAGUCCUUGGAGCCGAAGCGGUGACGCCAGGCUUAAGCGUAGGACAGGGAGCAGCAGAGCCGAAACGAGAGUGAAGUGAUUGAGCUGGGAAAUUAGUAUGAGGUUGGAUAUGGUCGAUGUGUUUCAGUGCACAGCAGACAACACUGCCAUGACCGGUAUGGCGAGGUCAUGGCGGCAUCCCCCAGUCUGAGAGC
rnacentral:ncRNA from 1 species